CUUUGUGAUUGCUGGGGGGGAUAGUCCAGGUUCUGCCCAGAUGUCCUGCCACGGCACUGUGCAAGGAGCGGUCUGAACGUGUGCAGAGAGCGAAGGUGAGUGACGUGAGGAAGUGAGCCUGCUCAGCGCCACCAGCACCCUGCCUGCCACCGCUGGGCUCCGUGGCUAAUCCCAGCCCUGUCCUUCAGUGUGUGCAACCCAGGGCCUCAGGCCAUCUCCCUGCAAAGCGGUGCAUCCCCUGGUGCUUGCCCUACCUGCUCCGCUCCUGGGGGUGCCACAUGCUUCUCCAAAAGGAACUCAAAGCUCAGCAGUGCUGGGAAUGUGGUGGAGCCUCCCCUCUGUCUGAGGGCAGCCUUUCUUCUCCAGGAAAUCUGCAUCCUCCAUCUCUACAGCCAAAGCACUCCUUUGCUGUGAUUGCUGCCUUUGAAGCAAGCUAAGCUUUCCAAGUGCAAGCUCCAGCCAAGCUUGGGCUCUGGCUCAGCGCUCUUGACACAAAGUGUUCUCCAGCCCUGGGAUAUAUAACCUUCCAAGUCUUCCCACAGCUCCUGGGCCGUGGCUUGGCAGCAGUGCUUCCCUGCGCUGGGCAGAAGCAGGUUAGAUCCAAGCCUGAGAAACCACCGUUGCUGUAAUGAUACACAAAAUAGAAAUCUCCACCUAACCCAGGACAAAAUGCUGUGCAAUCACUUUUGGAUCGCUGUGGGCUGCUUUCGCCGCAGACGCGAAGUCUGACAUCCAAAUGCACAACAGAAGCACAGUGCUUGUGGAACACAGGAUGACACAGCCUCGGAGAGCGAUAAGAGAUUCCCAUCGCAGCCGGAGAACACCCCCGUGGCCCUUGAACUUGUGACGCCCGGCGGCUCUCGUUAUGUGCGCGGCAGCUUCCUCCUCUGCCUGCGGAAUUACAGCCUGGGUUCUCCCGGGCUAAUCGCUGUUGUGAACAACAAGAUUGAUUGCUUUCUCCUUUAAUUAUUUGCAGAUCACCGAGACUUUGCAAAAUGCUCUAGGUGACAUAAACCGCAGUUUAAUGUGUUAGCAUUUGCCCGUCUGGGGGAUUCCUGAGGCUCAGCCAGCAGCGGGGCUGUGGGAAAGGAGGAGCGCAAACACCGCUGUCCUCUGCUGACCCGGCUUGUGCUGCUGCGUCGCUGACAGCCAUAAUAGGGAGCUCUGCGGAGAGGACUGGGUGUCUCGUCCCUGUCCUCGUCCCCUUUCUCAUUACCGUGGAUGAAUUCAAGCACUUAACAGCUUUUGGCUGCUAACUGCAGCUCGGGAUCGUCGGUAACAAACUGCGUCGUGGUGUGCAGCACUGACAGCCCCGAGUGACGCUGCCCGACCGAGUGCUGCUUGCAGCUGCAGCCCCGCCGUGCCAUCCGCCUGAGGCCGCGGCUCACCCCGCGUCCCCGAGGGGGGUCACUGUCCUCCCUUCGUGGCUGCUGACCUGGAAACUGUUCUGCGAGCGCUCUGUGCACGGGUUGUCUGCCUGGGAGUCUCUGUGGCGUGCUAUUUAAACUUCGCAGAGCUGCGCCUUCU
rnacentral:lncRNA from 1 species